AGUGAACGCUGGCGGUAGGCCUAACACAUGCAAGUCGAACGGCAGCACAGUAAGAGCUUGCUCUUACGGGUGGCGAGUGGCGGACGGGUGAGGAAUACAUCGGAAUCUACUUUUUCGUGGGGGAUAACGUAGGGAAACUUACGCUAAUACCGCAUACGACCUACGGGUGAAAGCAGGGGAUCUUCGGACCUUGCGCGAUUGAAUGAGCCGAUGUCGGAUUAGCUAGUUGGCGGGGUAAAGGCCCACCAAGGCGACGAUCCGUAGCUGGUCUGAGAGGAUGACCAGCCCUACUGGAACUGGGACACGGUCCAGACUCCUACGGGAGGCAGCAGUAGGGAAUAUCGGACAAUGGGCGCAAGCCUGAUCCAGCCAUACCGCGUGGGUGAAGAAGGCCUUCGGGUGGUAAAGCCCUUUUGUUGGGAAAGAAAAGCAGCAGGUUAAUACCCCGCUGUUCUGACGGUACCCAAAGAAUAAGCACCGGCUAACUUCGUG
rnacentral:rRNA from 1 species